UUCCGGUUGAUCCUGCCGGAGGGUACUGCUAUCAGAAUACGGCUAAGCCAUGCAAGUCAGUUCAGCCACUUGGUUGGACGGCGUACGGCUCAGUAACAUGUAGUCAAUCUGCCCUUGGGACGGGGAUAUCCUCGGGAAACUGAGGUCAAUACCCGAUUGCCCAUCUAUGCUGGAAUGCUUGAUGGGUUAAACGCGCAGCGAAUUGGAGUUGUUGCGCCCAAGGAUGAGACUGCACCUGAUUAGGUAGUUGGUGAGGUAACUGCUCACCAAGCCGAUAAUCAGUAGGGGCAAUGGGAGUUGGAGCCCCGAGAAGGGCACUGAGACAAGGGCCCUAGUCCUACGGGAUGCAGCAGGCGCGAAACCUUUGCAAUGCGCGCAAGCGUGACAGGGGAAUUCUGAGUGGUAGAGGGAUAUAUCUCUCUAUCUUUUGGCAACUGCAAAUAGGUUGCAGAAUAAGAUCUGGGUAAGACUAGUGCCAGCCGCCAUAUGCUUUAUCGCAUAAGGCACACGGUACGCGGUAAUACUAGCAGAUCGAGUGGUACCCACGAAUAUUGGGUCUAAAGAGUCCGUAGCUGGCCUGUUAAGUCCGCUGUGAAAUCUUGGGGCUUGACCUCAAGGCGUGCAGUGGAUACUGGCAGGCUCGAGAGCGGGGGAGGUUGGGAGUACUUAUGGGGUAGUGGUAAAAUACGUUGAUCCUAUAAGGACUACCAGUGGCGAAAGCGCCCAACCAAAACGCGUCUGACAGUGAGGGACGAAGCUAGGAGAACGAAUCGGAUUAGAUACCCGAGUAGCCCUAGCAGUAAAUUAUGCGGACUGUGGUGUUGC
rnacentral:rRNA from 1 species